rnacentral:rRNA from 1 species
GAUGAACGCUGGCGGCGUGCCUAAUACAUGCAAGUCGAGCGAACGGACGAGAAGCUUGCUUCUCUGAUGUUAGCGGCGGACGGGUGAGUAACACGUGGAUAACCUACCUAUAAGACUGGGAUAACUUCGGGAAACCGGAGCUAAUACCGGAUAAUAUUUUGAACCGCAUGGGGCAAAAGUGAAAGACGGUCUUGCUGUCACGUAUAGAUGGAUCCGCGCUGCAUUAGCUAGUUGGUAAGGUAACGGCUUACCAAGGCAACGAUGCAUAGCCGACCUGAGAGGGUGAUCGGCCACACUGGAACUGAGACACGGUCCAGACUCCUACGGGAGGCAGCAGUAGGGAAUCUUCCGCAAUGGGCGAAAGCCUGACGGAGCAACGCCGCGUGAGUGAUGAAGGUCUUCGGAUCGUAAAACUCUGUUAUUAGGGAAGAACAUAUGUGUAAGUAACUGUGCACAUCUUGACGGUACCUAAUCAGAAAGCCACGGCUAACUACGUG